AUUUUCUACUGUGCUUGUGUAUCUUUGCCGUUUUUCUAUUUUUCUCGCUUUCAGUUUCUGGGUGUUUGUUAAGAUUUUUUUUUUUUAUCUUUUCGUCGCUCGGGGGGGGGUGAAGUCAUACAAGUUCUUUACGUUCAGGGUUACACACCGUGGUACAAUGGGCAGGACAGAGGGUUGCAAAGUCGCAAGGCGGAGCCAAUCCCGUAAACCUGUCCUCAGUUCGGAUUGUCCUCUGCAACCCGAGGGCAUGAAGCUGGAAUCGCUAGUAAUCGCGGAUCAGCUACGCCGCGGUGAAUACGUUCCCGGACCUUGUACACACCGCCCGUCACGCCAUGGAAGCUGUGAGCGCCCGAAGUCCGUGUCGGAACCGCAAGGACCAAGCGGCCGAAGGCGAGCGCAGUGACUGGGGCGAAGUCGUAACAAGGUAAUA
rnacentral:rRNA from 1 species